rnacentral:rRNA from 1 species
UGGCUCAGAUUGAACGCUGGCGGCAGGCUUAACACAUGCAAGUCGAGCGGAAACGAUGGUAGCUUGCUACCAGGCGUCGAGCGGCGGACGGGUGAGUAAUACUUAGGAAUCUACCUAGUAGUGGGGGAUAGCUCGGGGAAACUCGAAUUAAUACCGCAUACGACCUACGGGAGAAAGGGGGCAGUUUACUGCUCUCGCUAUUAGAUGAGCCUAAGUCGGAUUAGCUAGAUGGUGGGGUAAAGGCCUACCAUGGCGACGAUCUGUAGCUGGUCUGAGAGGAUGAUCAGCCACACCGGGACUGAGACACGGCCCGGACUCCUACGGGAGGCAGCAGUGGGGAAUAUUGGACAAUGGGGGAAACCCUGAUCCAGCCAUGCCGCGUGUGUGAAGAAGGCCUUUUGGUUGUAAAGCACUUUAAGCAGUGAAGAAGACUCCGUGGUUAAUACCCACGGACGAUGACAUUAGCUGCAGAAUAAGCACCGGCUAACUCUGUGCCAGCAGCCGCGGUAAUACAGAGGGUGCAAGCGUUAAUCGGAAUUACUGGGCGUAAAGGGAGCGUAGGUGGCUCGAUAAGUCAGAUGUGAAAUCCCCGGGCUCAACCUGGGAACUGCAUCUGAUACUGUUGAGCUAGAGUAUGUGAGAGGAAGGUAGAAUUCCAGGUGUAGCGGUGAAAUGCGUAGAGAUCUGGAGGAAUACCGAUGGCGAAGGCAGCCUUCUGGCAUAAUACUGACACUGAGGCUCGAAAGCGUGGGUAGCAAACAGGAUUAGAUACCCUGGUAGUCCACGCCGUAAACGAUGUCUACUAGUCGUUGGGUCCCUUGAGGACUUAGUGACGCAGCUAACGCAAUAAGUAGACCG